AUGCAUUGUUCUCUUCUAAAUCUCCAAGAAACUUAUUAAGCUUUAAAGAUACUCGCAGAAAUGGAUAUCAUGUUGAGACAAUAAAUGAAAUGAAUGCCGAAUAUCUUGCAUUACCAAGAAUGUCUCAGAUUAAAAAUAAAUGUUGGAGAAAUUUCCAGUUUUGUCUUCCGGCUUUUACUCUGCCAAAAUUAGUACAAUUGAAGCACACUCUAUCAUAAACCAGAAGUUUACUGAUAUAAAUACAUUUGUGCUCUGGCAUGAUCGAAUAGGCCAUCCUGGAUCAAUAACGAUGAGACGAAUCAUUGAAAAUUCAAAAGGGCAUCCGUUAAAGAACUUGAAGAUUCUUACACCGGAUGAAUUUUCAUGUGCUGCUUGUUAUCAAGGUAAAUUGAUAACUAGGAUAUCACCACUGAAAGUUAGCGUCGAAUCCCCUCAAUUUCUAGAACAUACACAUGGGGAUAUAUGUGAACCUAUUCACCCACUGAUGACAGUGUCGCAGUAGUAAUUCAACCUAGUACGAGAGAAACUGUUGAUUCACACAAUUGGUAAUCGCGCUUGGUUGAAAAGCCAGUGGUGCGAAACUACCUAUGCUGGAUUAUGACUGAACGCGUCUAAGUCAAAAUUCGGGCUAGAAGCGAUGCAUGUGCCAGCCGUCCGCUUGCCGACCCACAGUAGGGGCCACGACCCCCAAGGACAUGUCUCUUUGGCUAAGCCAUCGCGGCGGAAGGGUCGUGGUGGCCGCCUUGAAGUACAAUUUCCACCGAGUGGUGGGUAGAAUCCUUUGCAGACGAAUUAAAUACGGGACGUGGCGGUCGACGGCAAUGUUAGAAAGUCCGUAGACGUCGACGGGAGCCUCGGAAAGAGUUAUCUUUUCUGUUUAACAGUGUGCCCACCCUGGAAUUGGAUCAACCGGAGGUAGGGUCCAGCGGCUGGAAGAGCACAGCACGUCGCGUGGUGUUCGGUGCGCUCCAGGAGGCCCUUGGAAAUCCGGAGGACCAAAUGUCGUCCACUCCCGGUUGUACUCAUAACCACAUCAGGUCUCCAAGGUGAACAGGCUCUGGUCGAUGGAACAAUGUAGACAAAGAAAGUCGACAAAAUAGAUCCGUAACUUUGGGAAAAGGAUUGGCUCUGAGGGCUGAGCACGGGGAUCCCAGUCCCGAGCCCGUCGGUUGUCGGUGGACUGCUCGAGCUGCUCCUGCGGCGAAGCGGGUUGCCGCGUGCUGGCCGACGGAAGGACUAGGAAAGGUUCCUUCUGGGGCCUUCCCCGCGCAUAGAACAACCAACUCAGAGCUUGUACAGACAAGGGGAAUCCGACUGUUUAAAUAAAACAAAGCAUUGCGAUGUCCCAACUGAUGUUUACGCAAUGUGAUUUCUGCCUAGUGCUCUGAAUGUCAAAGUGAAGAAAUUCAACCAAGCGUGGGUAAACGGCAGGAGUAACUAUGACUUUCUUAAUGUAGCCAAAUGCCUCAUCAUCUAAUUAGUGACGCUCAUGAAUGGAUUAACGAGAUUCCCACUGUCCCUAUCUAUUAUCCAGCGAAACCACAGCCAAGGGAACGGGCUUGGCAGAAUAGUGGUGAAAGAAAAACCUGUUGAGCUAGACUCUAGUCCGACUUUGUGAAAUAACUUGAGAGGUGUAGUAUAAGUGGGAGCUAAAAGGCGAAUGUGAAAUACCACUACUUUUAACAUUAUUUUACUUAUUCCGUGAAUUGGAAGUGGGGCACUGCCCCUAUUUUUGGACCUAAGGCUCGCUCUGCGGGCCGAUCCAAGAGGAAGACAUUGUCAAGUGGGGAGUUUCGCUGGGGAGGCACAUUUGUUAAAAGAUAACGCAGGUGUCCUAAGAUGAGCUCAACGAGAACAGAAAUCUUGUGUGGUACAGAAGGGUAAAAGCUCGUUUGAUUCUAAUUUUCAGUACGAAUAUGAACCGUGAAAGCGUGGCCUAACGAUCCUUUAGACCUUCAAAAUUCAAAGCUAGAGGCGUCAGAAAAGUUACCACAGGGAUAACUGGGUUGUGGCAGCCAAACAUUAUUAGCGACGUUGCUUUUUGAUCCUUCGAUGUCGGCUCUUCCAAUCAUUAUGAAGCAGAUUUCACCAAGUAUUGGAUUGUUCACCCACCAAUAUGGAACGUGAGCUGGGUUUAGACCGUCGUGAGAAAGGUUAGUUUUACCCUACUGAUGACAGUGUCGCAGUAGUUAUUUAACCUAGUACGAGAGAAAUCGUUGAUUCACACUAUUGGUCAUCGUUCUUGGUUGAAACGAUAGUGGCGCAAAGCUACCGUGUGCAGAAUUAUGACUGAAUGCCUCUAAGUCAGAAUCCUUGGCUAGAAGCGACGCAUGCGGCCGCCUUCCGCUUGCCGACCCGCAGUAGGGGCCUCGGCCCCCAAGGGCACAUGUCGUAGGCUAAUGCACUUCAGCGGAAGGGUCGCGGUGGCCGCCUUGAAGUAUAAUUUCCAUCGAGNNNNNNNNNNNNNNNNNNNNNNNNNNNNNNNNNNNNNNNN
rnacentral:rRNA from 1 species